UAAUAUUCAUGUGUUGUAUGGAUAGUAUAAGAUCGAGAGAAGCAGUGACAGCACAGCGAUUAAAGGGAGGGUCCGUAGUCUGUACCAAGUAACGAGUCAGAGGCAUAUGCAUGGCUUGUUUUGUAGUACUCUGACUAGCUAUACAACAGCCAAGGGAUCAGUAUCAGCAUCAGCUAGAGAGAGAAAAGAAAAGAAAAGAAAGGAAAGGAAAAGAAAAGAAAAGAAAUCAAAACCCCAAAUUGUGGUCGGAGAAAGGAGUGGUUGGCCCGACAAAAGCUGCAAUUCAUCACAUGGUUGGGGGUUUCCUGCAUUCUUCCACCGGACACCAAAGCCUAAGACAAUAUGAAGAAUACAGAAAAGUGGAUUGAGGGAGAGAAAACCAGCCUAAUCUGAUGACUAAAACGAUGGUAGAGAAGGCGAAGUCUGGAGUAUUGUCAGAGCCCAAAUUCCUUGUGUGUUUCCGUUUUUGCCUUUGCCACCUCUUUAUAUAAAGAGGUCCUAGGUUAUUAAGAUGUAUGUUGGGCAUGUGAAUAAGAUGAGUCAGGCCCCAUGUUCCUUUAUGGAUCAUGAUGUCCUAAUCUCUGUUCUUUCAGUUCUGUUGUCAAGUGUACGUAUCUCCUUGAAUGACCUAAAUGGAAGGUAGUUGUAAAGAUCUCUAUACUUACUCCAGCAUUUCUGUUGUUCUUAUCCUCAAAUUGGGUCUUGCCUUGGCAAGACUUAGCUAAUUUUUCAUCUUCCAUUUCAAAGUCCCUUCUAUAUUCCAACUGGCCUCGAAAAGUCCUACCAUUACUCUUUCGUUGUUCAUUUUGUUUAGGAAAAUGUGGUUCGGUCAGAUCGAGAUUCAAGGCCCUUUGAUCGACCAUUUGCGGCUGAACGGGAUCGAGAUUCAAGGCCCGUCAAUCGAUAGUUUGUGGCUUGGUUGGAUUAAGGUUCAAGACCCGUCGAUUGACAAUAACUAGAUCGGAUCGAAGUUCAAGGCUAGUCGAUCGACAAUUUGUGGCUAGAUCGGAUCGAGGUUCAAGGCCCGUCGAUCGACAGUUUGUAACUAGGUUUGAUCAAAGUUCAAGACUUAUCGAUUAACAAUUGCUUUUGUUGAGUUGGAUUUUCAAUAUUGACCGAAGGUCAUUUUAUCUUUUU